rnacentral:rRNA from 1 species
UGGGGAAUUUUGGACAAUGGGCGAAAGCCUGAUCCAGCAAUGCCGCGUGUGUGAAGAAGGCCUUCGGGUUGUAAAGCACUUUUGUCCGGAAAGAAAUCCUGCUAGGUUAAUACUCGGGGGAUGACGGUACCGGAAGAAUAAGCACCGGCUAACUACGUGCCAGCAGCCGCGGUAAUACGUAGGGUGCAAGCGUUAAUCGGAAUUACUGGGCGUAAAGCGUGCGCAGGCGGUUUUGUAAGACGGAUGUGAAAUCCCCGGGCUAACCUGGGAACUGCAUUGCGUACUGGCAAGGCUAGAGUAUGGCAGAGGGGGGUAGAAUUCCACGUGUAGCAGUGAAAUGCGUAGAGAUGUGGAGGAAUACCGAUGGCGAAGGCAGCCCCCUGGG